UUCCCCGAUUAGCGGGUUUGUGGCAUGCACAAAAUAUACACAAAUCUUGACCAAAUGACAAUCGAGUGUGUAUCCAGGCUUAUAACAGUUCCCCGGUUGCGCUGUUUAAAAAUCAUACACUCGGUAUUUAUAUCAUUUAAUGAAAGUAAGUUGGAAAAAUGGAGUUUCGAGCGAACAAACGCAUUAAACUAAGUAGCCAAAAGGGUCCAAGUCCCCUUGAUCUCGCAAGAACGUACUGCCAGAAUUACGUCAAUGUCAAUGAUGUCAUAGGCGAAGGAGUCUUUGCCACUAAGCCUUUUAAAAAAAGGAGACUUUCUUCUCGAAUACAAAGGGGAUCUGAUAACACGAGUAAAACAUGCACGGUAAUUAGAAAAGGAGUAUGAAAAGGAGGGUCAAGGCAGCUUCAUUUACUUUUUUAAAUACAGAGACAAAUCUUGCUGCAUUGACGCUACCAACGAUAUAUUUCAUGAGGGUCGAAUGAUAAAUGAUGCCGAAAAUGGAGACGCAAAAAAAUUGUGUAAUGAAAAUAGUUGAAGUCAACCAAACUCCCCAUCUAUGCACUUUCGCCGACAGAGACAUUGCAAUUGGAAAGGAACUCCGAUAUGGUUAUGGAGUACCAACACUUCCAUGGAGAAAGGCAACACAAUGACUACUAGAUCUACGGACAGCCAGGAACCAGGACAAACAACAUCCAUACACACGGAAGAAGUCAAUGAGACGAAAUGUACGGAACAAAAAAGGGCAACACAAUGACUACUAGAUCUACGGACAGCCAGGAACCAGGACAAACAACAUCCGUACACACGGAAGAAGUUGAUGAGACGAAAAGGGUACUUCAAAUACCAGGAGAACAAAACAAGCAGCCAAAAAGCAAUGGAAGUGAAAACGAAAAAGGAGCUGUUCACAGACACUUUGAUCGUUUUUUGAUAAUGGGUAAAUUACCAGGGAAAAAAGAAAUACUUGCAUGUAUUGAAAGUGAGAAUGACCUUCACAACAGAAGUUGGAAAAAUGUCAAAGACUUUUGGAGAAAAUUAAUUGAAACAAAAAAGCGACGGGGACUUUUAACUUAAAAAAAUAUUACACAUAUAAUGCACGUUUAGGAGAAUACGUUAAAGGAUGAAGUUGCCACAUUUUUUGUGUUUUCUUGUUCUAUAUACUCUUUUCGAAAACGAUAUAUGUGUGCUUAUUGUAUUUGAAUGUUUUAUUAAUACGGUUCAGUCAAAAACGAUAUUUGCUCAUAAUCAUAUCGCGAACAAAUUAGGAUUGGUAUAUAGUUCGGCCAAAGAGUGUUUCUUUGUACUUUCUAUUACGAGUUUCUACGAGUUACUCACUAUACAAGUUAUUUUUUACCCUAAACUUGGUGAAUAUGAAUGAUUAUAGCAAACAUGAUAACAAAUCAAUCUAGAAGGCUAAACGUUCAGAGAAGGCACAAAAAAAAUCAGUCGGAUAAAUGGAAGCAAACAUUUUGUUCAAGCAUAACAAACAAACACUUUUAGAUGUAAUAAGAUAAACAUUAAAAAAACUACUGCUAAACUACUGCUACAAUAUGAAGAAUACAAAUGAAUAUUUUGUCAAUUUUACAAAAUUUGUUGUGAAUGACAGGUGUCUGACUUGCAGUUGAGUACUUAAUAGUUAUUUUAAAGUAAAAAUUUACCAACAUGUAAAUUAUUGCGUAAAUAUCGCACUAGAAUUGAUGAAGUAGUUGUUAAAUAUUACAAUAAUUUCCUACACAGAUUUUUGUGCAUUUGUU